rnacentral:rRNA from 1 species
AUUGAACGCUAGCGGGAUGCUUUACACAUGCAAGUCGAACGGAGUGGCGGACGGGUGAGUAAUAAAACGGAACGUACCAAGUAGCGGGGGAUGACUACACGAAAAAGGGGAUAAUACACCAUACUAAUGGAGCGGCCGAUAUCGGAGUGGCUAGGGGGUGGGGUAAAGGCUCACCAAGGCAAAGAUCCGGAGCUGGUUUGAGAAGACGACCAUCCACACUGGGACUGAGACACGGCCCAGCCUCCUACGGGAGGAAGCAUUGGGGAAUUUUGGACAAUGGGGGAAACCCUGAUCCAGCCAUCCCGCGUGUAUGAUGAAGGCCUGCGGGUUGUAAAGUACUUUUGGCAGAUAAGCGUUAUCUGCAGAAUAAGCACCGGCUAACUACGUGCCAGCAGCCGCGGUAAUUC